CCUACGGGUGGCAGCAGUAGGGAAUAUUGCUCAAUGGGGGAAACCCUGAAGCAGCAACGCCGCGUGGAGGAUGAAGGUUUUCGGAUUGUAAACUCCUUUUGUUAGAGAAGAUAAUGACGGUAUCUAACGAAUAAGCACCGGCUAACUCCGUGCCAGCAGCCGCGGUAAUACGGAGGGUGCAAGCGUUACUCGGAAUAACUGGGCGUAAAGAGGGCGUAGGCGGGAUAGCAAGUCAGAUGUGAAAUCCUAUGGCUUAACCAUAGAACUGCAUUUGAAACUGUUAUUCUAGAGUAUGGGAGAGGUAGGUGGAAUUCUUGGUGUAGGGGUAAAAUCCGUAGAGAUCAAGAGGAAUACUCAUUGCGAAGGCGACCUGCUAGAACAUAACUGACGCUGAUGCGCGAAAGCGUGGGGAGCAAACAGGAUUAGAUACCCCAGUAGUC
rnacentral:rRNA from 1 species